rnacentral:rRNA from 2 species
GAUUCGUCACACUAUCAUUAACUGAAUCCAUAGGUUAAUGAGGCGAACCGGGGGAACUGAAACAUCUAAGUACCCCGAGGAAAAGAAAUCAACCGAGAUUCCCCCAGUAGCGGCGAGCGAACGGGGAGGAGCCCAGAGCCUGAAUCAGCAUGUGUGUUAGUGGAAGCGUCUGGAAAGGCGCGCGAUACAGGGUGACAGCCCCGUACACAAAAGCGCAUGUGCUGUGAGCUCGAUGAGUAGGGCGGGACACGUGGUAUCCUGUCUGAAUAUGGGGGGACCAUCCUCCAAGGCUAAAUACUCCUGACUGACCGAUAGUGAACCAGUACCGUGAGGGAAAGGCGAAAAGAACCCCGGCGAGGGGAGUGAAAAAGAACCUGAAACCGUGUACGUACAAGCAGUGGGAGCACAGGUUUACCUGUGUGACUGCGUACCUUUUGU